CCCCUCCCUGUCAAUUCUGCCUAUAUACCGCCGUCGCCAGCCUACCCUGUGAAGGAACCAUAGUGGGCCAUACUGGUAAUACCCCAAACGUCAGGUCGAGGUGUAGCAUAUGGAGGGGGAAGUAAUGGGCUACAUUCACUGCAUCAGUGAAUACGAAAGGUGCGCUGAAAGACGCAUCUGAAGGUGGAUUUAGCAGUAAGAGGGGAGCAGAGUGCCCUUCUGAAAUCGGCUCUUGAGCGUGCACACAUCGCCCGUCACUCUCCCCGAACCCGUCUAUUCUCGUACUUAACAAUACGGACACCACUAAGGGGAGGCAAGUCGUAACAUAGUAAGUGUACCGGAAGGUGCACUUGGAACA
rnacentral:rRNA from 1 species